rnacentral:rRNA from 1 species
AGUGAACGCUGGCGGUAGGCCUAACACAUGCAAGUCGAACGGCAGCACAGUAAGAGCUUGCUCUUACGGGUGGCGAGUGGCGGACGGGUGAGGAAUACAUCGGAAUCUACUUUUUCGUGGGGGAUAACGUAGGGAAACUUACGCUAAUACCGCAUACGACCUACGGGUGAAAGCAGGGGAUCUUCGGACCUUGCGCGAUUGAAUGAGCCGAUGUCGGAUUAGCUAGUUGGCGGGGUAAAGGCCCACCAAGGCGAAGAUCCGUAGCGGGUCUGAGAGGAUGAGCCGCCACACUGGAACUGAGACACGGGCCAGACCCCUACGGGAGGCAGGAGUGGGGAAUAUUGGAGAAUGGGGGCAAGCUUGACCCAGCCAUACCGCGUGGGUGAAGAAGGCCUUCGGGUUGUAAAGCCCUUUUGUUGGGAAAGAAAAUCAGCAGGUUAAUACCCCGCUGUUCGGACGGUACCCAAAGAAUAAGCACCGGCUAACUGCGU